rnacentral:lncRNA from 1 species
GUCUUGUGUUUGAGAUCCUGUGCGAGCAUGGAAGUUAAUUUUUGCUCAGUUGUGUGUUAGGGUUUUGGUGGAGUUGGGUUUCUGAAAAGGUUGUUUGUUAGUGGGGAGAAAUUUGAGGGAUUUAGGAGUUAAUUUUUAUUAUUUUUAUUCUUUUUUUUCAAAUUUUUUCCCUCUUUCCAGAAAAGAAAACUGACGUUAAUUUUGUGUUCUUUCCCUUUUGCUUUUUCAUUUUUCAAUUGUUGUUUUCUUCUAUUCUGUUUCGAUCGGUAGUUACAUAUCUGUAAUAUGUUUUUCCGUUUCCCUCGGUUGUUGGUAAGUGGCUCUAGUGCUCUGCUGUUUCGAUUUCUAAAUUGCCAAAUAGAAGUUUAUAUUUUCCGUUUUGGAAAUAGUGAAUCG